UGGGCACGGCUGAGCAGCCCCGGGGAGAGGCAGGUGUGGCCGGUCGAGCUGCGUCUGUGUGUGCGCCCGAGUCACCAGCUGGCCUGUUCUAGAGCCUGGGGUGGAGAAGGUGGGACUGAGGUGGGGUCCGCUGUUGUGGGUCCUGCUGCCGGCACGCACACGCUCCGGCCCGGCCAGGACGCCCGGAGGUCGGACCUCGGAAUUAUGCAGCGCACACCGUGCAGAAGGCCUGGUGGUCCUGGAGCUGGAAGGCCGUGACCUGGUCCCUGAAACGAUAACUUCAGUGUCUCCAUGACUGAACGUGUGCCGUGGCAGUGGAAGGGAGCGAGAGACUGAUCGCGACCUGACCCCGCACAGAGAGCCUUGCUUGUGCAGUCCCAAAUCCUUCCUUCCUAAACCGAGUUUGAGACCACCUGAACAGAAUGCAGUGCUGCUUUGAUUUCUUGGUUGAGUUUUUGACAUGCCUGUGAGGCCUGAGGCUGCCGAUGCGUGGAGAUGCUUACCCUGGCCAGAGGGAGGCGUCGCGCCUUCGUCACUGACGCGCCAGCUGUCCUGCAGAUGCCCCGCCCCGUCCCAGCCUUCCGGGGACUACUGGCCCUGCUGCCCGCCGGUUGGUGCCAGCCACGUGACGCUGCAGCGUGGGAAGAUGUGGCUGCCCCCACCUGUGCUCCCAGAUGGUGUUUUUGGAAACAGACCUCCCCAGGUCAUGGCAUCCAGCCUCCGCAGCGCCCUCGGAUCCCACCUCCCGGAAUUCACGCCCUGGGCAGUCCCUCAUGCAGCACCAGGGUGGGUCCGAGGACUAAUGGAGUUUGCUGUGUCACUUCCAAGAUUAGGUCAUAAAAGACACUGUGGUUUCCGUCUUGGGGGCUCUCCUCCCCUCUCCCUCCCCUCCCCCCUCCUUCUCCUUGUAGGGCAGUUGUCCCUGGAUUCCAGACUCUCGGAGACCUGUGAGAUGACAGACACUUGUUGCUCGAAACUGCUGACUUCCGAGGGAUUUGUUGCGCAGCAGCGGGAACUAAACCGCACGUCCUGUCUCUGCAGGACGUAUCUUGGAUGCAGGGAGAGCCGGGAAUGUUCUCUCACUUGAAGCCCCAGCCCGCAUGGGAGGACGCUCCCCUGCGUGCUCAGGAGCCUGAGCCGGUGCUUCCAAGGGGUGAGCUGGGGCCACCUUUGCUGCAGUGACUCGCGACUGUGACAGGAAUGGAAACGGGGAGGGGGCGCCAACGGGUGUUCGCUGAAGUCCGCAGGGAUGGCGGUCCUGUUCACUGCGCCCUCUGCCUGCUCCACAGACUGGGAAACACGCUGGUCCUCCCUGAAGGAGGUCACGGGGGGCCUGGCAACCGCGGUGACUUGUCCAAGGUCACACAGCCAGGCCGCGAGGGAGGGCGGGCUCAGCCCAGGGAUGUCUCCUGGCAAAGGGGUGACAGAUACAGAAGGGACAGGGUCUCAGAGCUCGAAGGCACCGAGCUUCCGUGGGCUGUGACCGUGGUCUCAGGCAGAAGCUGAGGUUGAAGACCAGCAGAGUCUUUUUCUCUCAGGUGUGUGCGUGACGGGAGAUAACUUGAAAGACGUUCGGAUUGAAUCCCAUUUAGUCCUACCUUGAAUAAAUUGCCUGCUCUGGGAAGAAGAGGAGUCCAGGAAGGGGACCAAAAAUUACCCAGAAAGAUGGAACCUGUCAGUGUUCAUCAGUGCCGCGUCUGAAUAUUGGGCCUUGGGCUGACCCUGUCCGAUGGGGCACCUGUGGCUGCCCUGGUCGCCGCCUCCAUGUGGGCUCUGGCCCCGGAGCUUCGGCCUCCCCUUCCUCCGGGAGAGAUGAGAACGCAGGCCCAGAGAGAUGAAACAAGAGCCGCACUCGGCAGUGGGUCUGUCCAGCUCCGUCCACGCGCCGUCCGCUGUCCACUCCGGCACUGCACUCUCGUGCACACCGGUUUGCCGGGCGUCGGCCGUGCGGGAGCUCUCGGUGGGUAGGGCCCUCGCUCUGCUCUUCCCCAAUGGACCCCGACCGUCUGGCUCAGUGCUGCCCUGUGGGAGGAACUCUCUAAACGCCUUCGGAGGAGGGACCAUUGUGGGGCUGAGUACACUUAAGACAUGGGCACUGGAUUGAACAUUGGCUCAAAUUCUGGUUCUGCUGAGAAGCUGUGUUGACCUUGGGCAAGUUAAUUAGUACCUCUGGGACACAGUGUCUGCAUCUGUAAGAUACAGGUUGUGCUCUUACCUCAUGAGCCUGUGGUGAAGAUCUACUGACACAAGACAUGUAAAGUGUGUGUCGCGGUCCCCGGUGUACUGUAGACCCUCAGUUCCUAUUGAAGGAACGAGAGAAUGGAUUAAUGUUCCAAGUGGCCUCUCUGUCUGGGGGACCCCAGCUCCUCCUGUAAGUGCUUACUGGAAGUUCUGUGGAGAGACUUGCCUGAAAGCUUCAAGUUGCUGCAGCGGAAUUUGUGGGCGUAUACUGAUGUCUUUAUUUGUGUGUUUCUGCUGUGCCCGCUGUUCUGUAAGCGCUGGGCGGGCAGGCCUACCCGCUGACCGACUGACCUCGUUCUGCUUCAUCACACAUUUACUGGGGCUCUCCCCUCUGCCGGGCCCUGUGCUAGAUUUCUUCCCCUGGGCCCCCAGCCUGGCUCGUGGCCGGUACUGCCUUGUGCUCUCUCCCGGGUGCUGGCCAUCUCCUGGCCCCCGGAGGCAUGGUGUCCUCUGGCUCAUGGGCCCAUGUGGGGUAACCUUCGGAACACUGCCGUAGAGAAGGGAGCCCAGGCAGGCCAGUCCAGCCUCCUCUCCCGUGAGCCCCUCGCGCCCACGCUCACUUCCUCUCCUCGUGGAGCCUGGGACGCUGCAGUGCUCAGGAUGUCUCCAGGAUGGCCUGUUCUCCAGACGCCUCCGAGGGGAAACACGAGCUGUCCUGUGCCUGCUGACCAGGAGGUGGCGCUGUCCCACACUUUAUGGGCCCCGAAGAGAAAUCCGUGUUUUAUCCCCAGAAUGCUGCUUUAAGAUGAGGGGGACGUUAUGGGCAUUUGAGCUAGUUAUCUGAAGAAAGAGAGAAUCCCGAAAAUAAAACGAGUUAAAGCUUC